rnacentral:rRNA from 1 species
CCUACGGGAGGCAGCAGUGGGGAAUCUUGCGCAAUGGGCGAAAGCCUGACGCAGCCAUGCCGCGUGAAUGAUGAAGGUCUUAGGAUUGUAAAAUUCUUUCACCGGGGACGAUAAUGACGGUACCCGGAGAAGAAGCCCCGGCUAACUUCGUGCCAGCAGCCGCGGUAAUACGAAGGGGGCUAGCGUUGCUCGGAAUUACUGGGCGUAAAGGGAGCGUAGGCGGACAUUUAAGUCAGGGGUGAAAUCCCGGGGCUCAACCUCGGAAUUGCCUUUGAUACUGGGUGUCUUGAGUAUGAGAGAGGUGUGUGGAACUCCGAGUGUAGAGGUGAAAUUCGUAGAUAUUCGGAAGAACACCAGUGGCGAAGGCGACACACUGGCUCAUUACUGACGCUGAGGCUCGAAAGCGUGGGGAGCAAACAGGAUUAGAUACCCUGGUAGUCCACGCCGUAAACGAUGAUUGCUAGUUGUCGGGAUGCAUGCAUUUCGGUGACGCAGCUAACGCAUUAAGCAAUCCGCCUGGGGAGUACGGUCGCAAGAUUAAAACUCAAAAUGAAUAGACGG